UCAGUUCAUCGGUUUUCUCCUUCAUUUCAGCUUCACUUUGGUUUGGGCAAACAAGUUGGGCAAACCAUGCUUGUGCAGUCUUGCUCUCUUUUGGGCAGAUUUAAGGCCAUUUUUGCCAAAUUACCAUUUUACUCCAUUUUCUGCAAAAUAAGAUCAAAACCACAAAAUUAGGUAGAAAAUGUGUAAAUCAACAUAAAUAUCAAUAUGGAAAAUGGGUCUAAAUUUUGCUCUAUCAAAUACUCCCACACCUAGCCCUUUGCUUGUCCUCAAGCAAACAGACUUAGUCAAACAAGUUUUGUUUGCUACUUGAUUCUUAUUUCCACUUAGGCUUCUAACCCUAGACCCCUACUUUGAAUCAUUGCAGUGAAGAAUAUAUGCACCAAGGUUACUCACCUCCUUUCCUUGUUUUCCCUUUACUUACCAUGGCUAGGAUUUGUUUUCCUCAAGAGAGACCAUACAUGCACAUAUUGUUUGAUUAAGACUUUUCUUAGCUUUCAAAGUGACUUGCCCUUACCUUGAAGUACUUUAUUCAGGCUUUUGCACUUUUAAUCUUGCUUGAACAAGUCACCAACCUAUUGAUGUG
rnacentral:lncRNA from 1 species